CUAGCGAUUAGCAGGGUCCCAUGAAAUGAGAAUAAUCCAACGGCAGAUAAUCAACGAUGAGAAUAGUCGACGGCCGCAGAUGAAUGACUCUUACAGCGAACGCAGAAUUUAUUAUUUACACACGAAACCCACCAUUGAUUUGGCAGAUUGUGCGAACUGAGGAACAAAGAUUCGAGCAUUAAUUGGGUGAUUUUAGGGUUAGGGCUGAGAAUUGAGGAUUGAGGAGUGAGAAGUGAGGACGACUCAAAAAUCAGAGGAGAGUAAUGGCGGGUGAAUUGACUGCUUUCAGGUUCAUGAAGUCAAGGCAUCGUCCCCAUACCACUGAUCUCCAAGCCGCUGCCGGGUGGGGUAUCGCUGCCGUCACCGGUGCUCUUUGGCUCGUCCAGCCAUUUGAUUGGCUGAGGAAGACCUUUUUGGAGAAGCCGGAGCCUGAAGACAAGUGAAAAUGGAAUUGAACAUUCUGGUAAAACUCUGUUUGAUGAGACUGAUGACCAUAUGGGAAAUGUUGUUUUGAUGAGACUACAAUGGAUAGAGUUUAGGCGAAUAAUAAUCGUGUAGUUUCGUACUUAAUUUAAUUGUUAAUUACAUGCAAACCCUUUCUUUGCACAUUCCUGGUUCUUGUUUAUGCCAUUCUUGCAAUUUUACUCUCUGCUUUCUGUUUAAACAUAUGGAAUUCUAUAAGACGAACAAGCCCACAAUAUUAGCUA